GUCCUCGAUCUGCUGCGGGCAGAUGAAAUGGAUAUGCGCGUCAAACCCGCCCGCCGUCAGGAUUUUCCCUUCGCCCGCAAUCACUUCCGUACCGGGGCCAAUGAUGAUGUCGACCCCCGGCUGGGUAUCGGGAUUGCCCGCUUUACCAAUCGCGGCGAUCACCCCGUCGCGCAGCCCCAGAUCGGCCUUGUAGAUGCCCGAAUGAUCCACGAUCAGCGCAUUCGUAAUCACGGUAUCGACCGCACCGCCCGCGCGUGAAAUCUGGCUUUGGCCCAUCCCGUCGCGGAU
rnacentral:sRNA from 1 species